rnacentral:rRNA from 1 species
AGAGUUUGUCAGAGGGGGGUGGAAUCCAAGUGUAGCAGUGAAAUGCGUAGAGAUUUGGAGGAACACCAAUGGCGAAGGCAACCCCCUGGGAUAAAACUGACGCUCAUGCACGAAAGCGUGGGUAGCAAACAGGAUUAGAUACCCUGGUAGUCCACGCCCCAAACGAUGUCUACUUGCUGUUGGGGGCAACCUUAGUAGCGAAGCUAACGCGAGAAGUAGACCGCCUGGGGAGUACGGUCGCAAGAUUAAAACUCAAAGGAAUUGACGGGGACCCGCACAAGCGGUGGAUGAUGUGGAUUAAUUCGAUGCAACGCGAAGAACCUUACCUGCUCUUGACAUGUACGGAAGAUUUCAGAGAUGAGAUUGUGCCUUCGGGAACCGUAACACAGGUGCUGCAUGGCUGUCGUCAGCUCGUGUCGUGAGAUGUUGUCUUAAGUGACGCAACGAGCGCAACCCUUGUCACUAGUUGCCAUCAUUAAGUUGGGCACUUUAGUGAGACUGCCGGAGCUAAUCCGGAGGAAGGUGGGGAUGACGUCAAGUCCUCAUGGCCCUUAUGAGCAGGGCUUCACACGUCAUACAAUGGUAAGUAACAGAGGGAAGCGAAGCGGCGACGUGGAGCAAAUCC